AAUAUACAUGCAACAACAACCACACGCUCGUCCAGUUACACUUACGCAGGAUACAGCGAAUACACUGAAGCGCGAAUACCACUACUAUCGUGAAAUGAAAAC